rnacentral:tRNA from 1 species
GGCAGUGUGGUCAAGUGGAUAAGACACUGGACUGGGAAACAAGAGACUUCAUUCUAUUUCUGGCUCUGCCA